UCAGGCCUAACACAUGCAAGUCGAGCGGCAGCGGGAAAGUAGCUUGCUACUUUUGCCGGCGAGAAAAGGACGGGUGAGUAAUGCCUGGGAAAUUGCCCAGUCGAGGGGGAUAACAGUUGGAAACGACUGCUAAUACCGCAUACGCCCUACGGGGGAAAGCAGGGGACCUUCGGGCCUUGCGCGAUUGGAUAUGCCCAGGUGGGAUUAGCUAGUUGGUGAGGUAAUGGCUCACCAAGGCGACGAUCCCUAGCUGGUCUGAGAGGAUGAUCAGCCACACUGGAACUGAGACACGGUCCAGACUCCUACGGGAGGCAGCAGUGGGGAAUAUUGCACAAUGGGGGAAACCCUGAUGCUUCCAAGCCGCGUGUGUGAAGAAGGCCUUCGGG
rnacentral:rRNA from 1 species